GAUGAACGCUGGCGGCGUGCCUAAUACAUGCAAGUCGAGCGAACGGACGAGAAGCUUGCUUCUCUGAUGUUAGCGGCGGACGGGUGAGUAACACGUGGAUAACCUACCUAUAAGACUGGGAUAACUUCGGGAAACCGGAGCUAAUACCGGAUAAUAUUUUGAACCGCAUGGUUCAAAAGUGAAAGCGGUUUUGCUGGCAAUUAUUGGUGGAUCCGCGCUGCAUUAGCUAGUUGGUAAGGUAACGGCUUACCAAGGCAACGAUGCAUAGCCGACCUGAGAGGGUGAUCGGCCACACUGGAACUGAGACACGGUCCAGACUCCUACGGGAGGCAGCAGUAGGGAAUCUUCCGCAAUGGGCGAAAGCCUGACGGAGCAACGCCGCGUGAGUGAUGAAGGUCUUCGGAUCGUAAAACUCUGUUAUUAGGGAAGAACAUAUGUGUAAGUAACUGUGCACAUCUUGACGGUACCUAAUCAGAAAGCCACGGCUAACUACGUG
rnacentral:rRNA from 1 species